UGUGACUGCGUACCUUUUGUAUAAUGGGUCAGCGACUUAUAUUCUGUAGCAAGGUUAACCGAAUAGGGGAGCCGAAGGGAAACCGAGUCUUAACUGGGCGUUAAGUUGCAGGGUAUAGACCCGAAACCCGGUGAUCUAGCCAUGGGCAGGUUGAAGGUUGGGUAACACUAACUGGAGGACCGAACCGACUAAUGUUGAAAAAUUAGCGGAUGACUUGUGGCUGGGGGUGAAAGGCCAAUCAAACCGGGAGAUAGCUGGUUCUCCCCGAAAGCUAUUUAGGUAGCGCCUCGUGAAUUCAUCUCCGGGGGUAGAGCACUGUUUCGGCAAGGGGGUCAUCCCGACUUACCAACCCGAUGCAAACUGCGAAUACCGGAGAAUGUUAUUACGGGAGACACACGGCGGGUGCUAACGUCCGUCGUGAAGAGGGAAACAACCCAGACCGCCAGCUAAGGUCCCAAAGUCAUGGUUAAGUGGGAAACGAUGUGGGAAGGCCCAGACAGCCAGGAUGUUGGCUUAGAAGCAGCCAUCAUUUAAAGAAAGCGUAAUAGCUCACUGGUCGAGUCGGCCUGCGCGGAAGAUGUAACGGGGCUAAACCAUGCACCGAAGCUGCGGCAGCGACACUAUGUGUUGUUGGGUAGGGGAGCGUUCUGUAAGCCUGUGAAGGUGUGCUGUGAGGCAUGCUGGAGGUAUCAGAAGUGCGAAUGCUGACAUAAGUAACGAUAAAGCGGGUGAAAAGCCCGCUCGCCGGAAGACCAAGGGUUCCUGUCCAACGUUAAUCGGGGCAGGGUGAGUCGACCCCUAAGGCGAGGCCGAAAGGCGUAGUCGAUGGGAAACAGGUUAAUAUUCCUGUACUUGGUGUUACUGCGAAGGGGGGACGGAGAAGGCUAUGUUGGCCGGGCGACGGUUGUCCCGGUUUAAGCGUGUAGGCUGAUUUUCCAGGCAAAUCCGGAAAAUCAAGGCUGAGGCGUGAUGACGAGGCACUACGGUGCUGAAGCAACAAAUGCCCUGCUUCCAGGAAAAGCCUCUAAGCAUCAGGUAACAUCAAAUCGUACCCCAAACCGACACAGGUGGUCAGGUAGAGAAUACCAAGGCGCUUGAGAGAACUCGGGUGAAGGAACUAGGCAAAAUGGUGCCGUAACUUCGGGAGAAGGCACGCUGAUAUGUAGGUGAAGCGACUUGCUCGUGGAGCUGAAAUCAGUCGAAGAUACCAGCUGGCUGCAACUGUUUAUUAAAAACACAGCACUGUGCAAACACGAAAGUGGACGUAUACGGUGUGACGCCUGCCCGGUGCCGGAAGGUUAAUUGAUGGGGUUAGCGGUAACGCGAAGCUCUUGAUCGAAGCCCCGGUAAACGGCGGCCGUAACUAUAACGGUCCUAAGGUAGCGAAAUUCCUUGUCGGGUAAGUUCCGACCUGCACGAAUGGCGUAAUGAUGGCCAGGCUGUCUCCACCCGAGACUCAGUGAAAUUGAACUCGCUGUGAAGAUGCAGUGUACCCGCGGCAAGACGGAAAGACCCCGUGAACCUUUACUAUAGCUUGACACUGAACAUUGAGCCUUGAUGUGUAGGAUAGGUGGGAGGCUUUGAAGUGUGGACGCCAGUCUGCAUGGAGCCGACCUUGAAAUACCACCCUUUAAUGUUUGAUGUUCUAACGUUGGCCCGUUAUCCGGGUUGCGGACAGUGUCUGGUGGGUAGUUUGACUGGGGCGGUCUCCUCCUAAAGAGUAACGGAGGAGCACGAAGGUUGGCUAAUCCUGGUCGGACAUCAGGAGGUUAGUGCAAUGGCAUAAGCCAGCUUGACUGCGAGCGUGACGGCGCGAGCAGGUGCGAAAGCAGGUCAUAGUGAUCCGGUGGUUCUGAAUGGAAGGGCCAUCGCUCAACGGAUAAAAGGUACUCCGGGGAUAACAGGCUGAUACCGCCCAAGAGUUCAUAUCGACGGCGGUGUUUGGCACCUCGAUGUCGGCUCAUCACAUCCUGGGGCUGAAGUAGGUCCCAAGGGUAUGGCUGUUCGCCAUUUAAAGUGGUACGCGAGCUGGGUUUAGAACGUCGUGAGACAGUUCGGUCCCUAUCUGCCGUGGGCGCUGGAGAACUGAGGGGGGCUGCUCCUAGUACGAGAGGACCGGAGUGGACGCAUCACUGGUGUUCGGGUUGUCAUGCCAAUGGCACUGCCCGGUAGCUAAAUGCGGAAGAGAUAAGUGCUGAAAGCAUCUAAGCACGAAACUUGCCCCGAGAUGAGUUCUCCCUGACUCC
rnacentral:rRNA from 1 species